rnacentral:miRNA from 1 species
CAGCAGACACAUUCCAGCCAAUCAGCAGCAGACCCUUCCUCCCAGACCCUCCCACCUCCUGGACAGCUUACUAAGAAUGCAGCUUCACAAUGAAUGUAAAAUGGAUGCUGUCCAGGAGGUGGGAGGGUCUGGGAGGGAGGGUCUGCUGAUGAUUGGCUGGAAUGUGUCUGCUG